rnacentral:rRNA from 1 species
AUUGAACGCUGGCGGCAUGCCUUGCACAUGCAAGUCGAACGGCAGCACGGGUGCUUGCACCUGGUGGCGAGUGGCGAACGGGUGAGUAAUACAUCGGAACAUGUCCUGUAGUGGGGGAUAGCCCGGCGAAAGCCGGAUUAAUACCGCAUACGAUCUACGGAUGAAAGCGGGGGACCUUCGGGCCUCGCGCUAUAGGGUUGGCCGAUGGCUGAUUAGCUAGUUGGGGGGGUAAAGGCCUACCAAGGCGACGAUCAGUAGCUGGUCUGAGAGGACGACCAGCCACACUGGGACUGAGACACGGCCCAGACUCCUACGGGAGGCAGCAGUGGGGAAUUUUGGACAAUGGGCGAAAGCCUGAUCCAGCAAUGCCGCGUGUGUGAAGAAGGCCUUCGGGUUGUAAAGCACUUUUGUCCGGAAAGAAAUCCUUGGCCCUAAUACGGUCGGGGGAUGACGGUACCGGAAGAAUAAGCACCGGCUAACUACGUG